rnacentral:rRNA from 1 species
GAUGAACGCUGGCGGCGCGCCUAACACAUGCAAGUCGAACGAUUAAAGCACCUUCGGGUGUGUAUAAAGUGGCGAACGGCUGAGUAACACGUGGGCAACCUGCCCCUUUCAUUGGGAUAGCCACGGGAAACCGUGGAUAAUACCGAAUACUUCGAGACUUCCGCAUGGAAGACUCGAGAAAGCUCCGGCGGAGAGGGAUGGGCCCGCCGCCUGUUAGCUUGUUGGUGGGGUAACGGCCUACCAAGGCAAUGAUGGGUAGCUGGGUUGAGAGACCGACCAGCCAGAUUGGGACUGAGACACGGCCCAGACUCCUACGGGAGGCAGCAGUGGGGAAUCUUGCACAAUGGGCGAAAGCCUGAUGCAGCGACGCCGCGUGCGGGAUGAAGGCCUUCGGGUUGUAAACCGCUUUCAGCAGGGACGAGGCGAAAGUGACGGUACCUGCAGAAGAAGCCCCGGCUAACUACGUG